rnacentral:rRNA from 1 species
GUCAAGAAUCUUCCUCAAUGGCCGAAAGGCUGAAGGAGCGACGCCGCGUGCAUGAUGAAGCCCUUCGGGGUGUAAAGUGCUUUUCUCUGGGAAGAACUAUGACGGUACCAGAGGAAUAAGGAGCCGCUAACCUCGUGCCAGCAGCGGCGGUAAUACGAGGGCUCCAAGCGUUAUCCGGAUUUAUUGGGCGUAAAGCGUCCGCAGGCGGCCUGGCGCAUCUCCUGUCAAAUCCUUGGGCUCAACCCAAGGGCUGCGGGAGAGAUGGCCUGGCUAGAGGCCGGAAAAGGCAAGCGGAAUUGCUGGUGUAGGGGUUAAAUCCGUUAAUAUCAGCAGGAACACCAAAUGCGAAAGCAGCUUGCUAGUACGGUCCUGACGCUCAGGGACGAAAGCGUGGGGAGCGAAUGGGAUUAGAUACCCUAGUAGUCC